rnacentral:rRNA from 1 species
AUUGAACGCUGGCGGCAGGCCUAACACAUGCAAGUCGAGCGAGCGGCGGACGGGUGAGUAAUGUAUGGGGACUGCCCGAUAGAGGGGGAUAACUAUUGGAAACGGUAGCUAAUACCGCAUACUAUCGGAUAACCCAUAUGGGAUUAGCUAGUAGGUGAGGUAAUGGCUCUCCUAGGCGACGAUCCCGAGCUGGUCUGAGAGGAUGAUCAGCCACACUGGGACGGAGACACGGCCCAGACUCCUACGGAGGCAGCAGUGGGGAAUGUUGCGCAAUGGGAGCAAGCCUGAUCCAGCCAUCCCGCGUGUAUGAAGAAGGCCCUAGGGUUGUAAAGUGCUUUCAGUCGGGAGGCGUUACCGACAGAAGAAGCACCGGCUAACUCCGUGCCAGCCGCCGCGGUAAUUC